rnacentral:rRNA from 1 species
AUGAACGCUAGCGGCAGGCUUAACACAUGCAAGUCGAGGGGCAGCGGGGAGUAGCAAUACUUUGCCGGCGACCGGCGGACGGGUGCGUAACGCGUAUGCAACCUACCUAUUACCGGGGGAUAAUCUGGAGAAAUUCGGUCUAACACCUCGUAAUACGAGAUAAGGCAUCUUAUUUUGUUGAAAUGGUUAAGGUAAUAGAUGGGCAUGCGUGACAUUAGCUAGUUGGUAGGGUAACGGCCAACCAAGGCGACGAUGUCUAGGGGGACUGAGAGGUUAACCCCCCACACUGGUACUGAGACACGGACCAGACUCCUACGGGAGGCAGCAGUGAGGAAUAUUGGUCAAUGGGCGGAAGCCUGAACCAGCCAUGCCGCGUGCAGGAAGGAGGCUCUACGAGUUGUAAACUGCUUUUAUACGAGGGUAAAGAUAGAUACGUGUAUUUAUUUGAAAGUAUCGUAUGAAUAAGGAUCGGCUAACUCCGUGCCAGCAGCCGCGGUAAUACGGAGGAUCCGAGCGUUAUCCGGAUUUAUUGGGUUUAAAGGGUGCGUAGGUUGUUGUUUAAGUUAGCGGUAAAAUCUGUAGGCUUAACCUAUAUAAGCCGUUAAGACUGAAUAGCUAGAGAGAGGAUGCAGCAGGCGGAAUGUGUAGUGUAGCGGUGAAAUGCAUAGAUAUUACACAGAACACCGAUUGCGAAGGCAGCUUGCUAAGCCUUAUCUGACACUGAAGCACGAAAGCGUGGGUAGCGAACGGGAUUAGAUACCCCGGUAGUCCACGCAGUAAACGAUGAUAACUGGUUGUCGGCGAUAGAAUGUCGGUGACUAAGCGAAAGCGAUAAGUUAUCCACCUGGGGAGUACGACCGCAAGGUUGAAACUCAAAGGAAUUGACGGGGGCCCGCACAAGCGGAGGAACAUGUGGUUUAAUUCGAUGAUACGCGAGGAACCUUACCCGGGCUCAAACGUCGGGCGAAUCAUCCUGAAAGGGGUGAGCCAGCAAUGGCGGCCGACGAGGUGCUGCAUGGUUGUCGUCAGCUCGUGCCGUGAGGUGUCGGGUUAAGUCCCAUAACGAGCGCAACCCCUACCGAUAGUUGCCAGCGGGUAGAGCCGGGGACUCUAUCGGGACUGCCAGAGUAAUCUGCGAGGAAGGUGGGGAUGACGUCAAAUCAGCACGGCCCUUACGUCCGGGGCGACACACGUGUUACAAUGGAUGGUACAGAGGGGCACGAGGCAGUGAUGCCGAGGGAAUCUCGAAAGCCAUUCUCAGUUCGGAUUGGAGGCUGGAACUCGCCUCCAUGAAGUUGGAUUCGCUAGUAAUCGCGCAUCAGCCAUGGCGCGGUGAAUACGUUCCCGGGCCUUGUACACACCGCCCGUCAAGCCAUGGGAGUCUGGGGUGCCUGAAGAUCGUGACCGGAAGGAGCGAGUUAGGGCAAAACAGGUAACUGGGGCU